rnacentral:rRNA from 1 species
GACGAACGCUGGCGGCGUGCUUAACACAUGCAAGUCGAACGGAAAGGCCCUGCUUUUGUGGGGUGCUCGAGUGGCGAACGGGUGAGUAACACGUGAGUAACCUGCCCUUGACUUUGGGAUACUUCAGGAAACUGGGGCUAAUACCGGAUAGGAGCUCCUGCUGCAUGGUGGGGGUUGGAAAGUUUCGGCGGUUGGGGAUGGACUCGCGGCUUAUCAGCUUGUUGGUGGGGUAGGGGCUUACCAAGGCUUUGACGGGUAGCCGGCCUGAGAGGGUGACCGGCCACAUUGGGACUGAGAUACGGCCCAGACUCCUACGGGAGGCAGCAGUGGGGAAUAUUGCACAAUGGGCGGAAGCCUGAUGCAGCAACGCCGCGUGCGGGAUGACGGCCUUCGGGUUGUAAACCGCUUUCGCCUGUGACGAAGCGUGAGUGACGGUAAUGGGUAAAGAAGCACCGGCUAACUACGUG